rnacentral:ncRNA from 1 species
UUAACAGUUAAAGCGCCAGUACAAGUGACAGCGGUUGAUUGUGGACAUAUACACUAAAGCAGAGUGCAUAUUGAGAUGGACUUGCGCACUUGUAGACGAGGAGGAUAGUGAUCGAAUCAGAUCGGCGGAUGCUAUCCCGGAUGUGGCUCAUUCGUUAGCUUAUUAAUUAAAACAAAAGGGCAACUUUUUGGACAAAGUUAAUAAGAUCGCCAACA